rnacentral:rRNA from 1 species
UUAUCCGGAUUUAUUGGGUUUAAAGGGUGCGUAGGUGGGCUGUUAAGUCAGCGGUGAAAGUUUGUCGCUUAACGAUAAAAUUGCCGUUGAAACUGGUAGUCUUGAGUAUAGAUGAAGUAGGCGGAAUGCGUGGUGUAGCGGUGAAAUGCAUAGAGAUCACGCAGAACUCCGAUUGCGAAGGC